GGUAGAAUGGCUGAGUAUAAGCAUUAGACUGUAAAUCUAAAGACAGGGGUUUAAUCUCCUUUUUACCA
rnacentral:tRNA from 1 species